GCCUCGGUAGCGCAGUAGGCAGCGCGUCAGUCUCAUAAUCAUAAUACAUUGGUCGAGCUAUCUGAAGGUCGUGAGUUCGAUCCUCACCUGGGGCA
rnacentral:tRNA from 1 species